rnacentral:lncRNA from 1 species
GUGGGUCCUGCUGCUGCCACCGGUGCUGCAGGUGAAUGGCUGGAACGGCGGCGGCGCCCCCCUGAGCGCCGGCCCGUUGUCCCAGAGCAACUCGGCUAGCUCGUCGCCUGACCCGGUCCUGCAGGUGAGAGAAUCACACAGCCACACAGGUAUCAUCAGCACCGGUUGGCUCCAAUCGAAGAACUCGCGUAGUCGCGUGGCAGAUACUGACAUCCGAGCGCCGUGCGGCGACAGGUGGAGCAGGACGGAGCGCACGCUGCUGCUGGUACUGUGCCUUGGCGCGGGCGAGCAGACGGAGAGGAUAGGGAGUCGGAGGUCGGAGCAGUAGCUAGCACGAACUGUUGCUUAUGCGCGUGAUAUGGAGGAAGGGAGGAAG